GCGAAGGUAGCGUAAUCACUUGUUCUUUAAUUGUGGACUAGUAUGAAUGGCCCCACGAAGACUAUACUGUCUCCUUUUUCUAAUCAAUGAAACUAAUCUCCCCGUGAAGAAGCGGGGAUAGUUCUAUAAGACGAGAAGACCCUAUGGAGCUUUAAACAACUGAAGUAUUUGCUUUCACUUAAUAGCUUCAGAAAACUAAACAUAUUUAAGCAUUUUUAACUUCUAGUUUUAGGUUGGGGUGACCACGGAGUAAAACUUAACCUCCACGCUGAAAGAUAAAACUUCUUAGCAAAAAGCCACAUCUUUAUGCAUCAUCAAACUGACUUACAUUGACCCAAUUAUUUGAUCAACGAACCAAGUUACCCUAGGGAUAACAGCGCAAUCUACUUCAAGAGCCCGUACGACAAGUAGGUUUACGACCUCGAUGUUGGAUCAGGGUAUCCUAGUGGUGCAG
rnacentral:rRNA from 1 species